rnacentral:tRNA from 1 species
AGGUCGCUAGUUUAGGAGUAGAAUAUUAUUUUGCAAAAAUAAAGGAAAUUAUUUAUUGUGUCCUU